UGGAAACCGAUAAGAAACUAAUAUUGGUCUAUUAUUGCGCCAAACUGCCGGGUAGUUCUGAGAAUCUUUUGUGUAUAUAAGAGACGAAUGUGCUUGGUACAUUGCAUAUCCAAAUAGGGGGGAAGACACCUCAGAGAUACACAGACAUAAGCGAGGAGGAUGGCAAAGCAAGGUGUAGACUUCGGAGUGGCGCUGGUCCUUGUUGCCCUCGCAGCAUUUCCAGCAGUGCACUCCAUCGGCGUCUGCAACGGCGUGCUCGGCAGCGACCUGCCGGCGCCGAGCGACGUCGUGAAGCUCUACCAAUCCAAGGGCAUCAACGCCAUGCGGAUCUACGAGCCGGAGGGCAACGUCCUCAAGGCGCUCAGUGGCACGGGCAUCGCCGUCCUCAUGGACGUCGGCAAGGCGCUACCCAGCCUCGCCUCCAGCAGCUCCGCUGCGGCCGCCUGGGUAAAGGCCAACGUCUCCUCCUUCCCGGGCGUCUCCUUCCGCUACAUCGCCGUCGGCAACGAGGUCAUCGACAGCGCCGGCCAGAAGACCAUCCUCCCGGCCAUGAGGAACGUACAACGGGCGAUCGUGGCCGCCGGCCUCGGCGGCAGCGUCAAGGUGUCGACUUCCGUGCGGUUCGACGUGGUCAAGGACACUUCUCCGCCCUCCAACGGUGUGUUCGCGGACACAUCAUUCAUGGGGCCCAUCCUUGAGUUCCUGGCGAGCACCGGCGCACCGCUGCUGGUCAACGUCUACCCCUACUUCGCCUACGAGAAGGACCCGAAGAACAUCCAGCUCAACUUCGCUACUUUCGUGCCAGGCAGCACCACCGUGAACGACAAGGGGCUGACAUACACGAACCUCUUCGACGCCAUGGUCGACUCCAUCUACGCCGCGCUGGAGAAAGCCGGCAAGCCCGGGGUUAAGGUGGUCAUAUCCGAGAGCGGGUGGCCGUCGGACGAAGGUUUCGGGGCGACGGCGCAGAACGCGCGGACGUAUAACCAGGGGUUGAUCAACCACGUCGGCAACGGCACGCCCAAACGGCCCGGGCCGUUGGAGACGUACAUUUUCGCCAUGUUCAACGAGAACCUGAAGGACGGGGAGAAGAGCGAGAAGCAUUUUGGGCUGUUCAAUCCGGACACCUCGCCGGCCUAUUCCAUUACUUUCUGAGUGCGACAAGCGUCGGAUUCCGUCGGCGUCUGCAACGGCGUGAUCGGCAACAACCUGCCGGCGCCGAGCGACGUCGUGAAGCUCUACAAGUCCAAGGGCAUCAACGCCAUGCGGAUCUACGAGCCGGAGAGCAAGGUCCUCAAGGCGCUCAGCGGCACGGGCAUCGCCCUCCUCAUGGACGUCGGCAACGGCGCGCUAACCAGCCUCGCCAACGACCCCUCCGCCGCGCCCGCCUGGGUCAAGGCCAACGUCCAGCCCUACCCGGGCGUCUCCUUCCGCUACAUCGCCGUGGGCAACGAGGUCAUGGACAGCGCCGGCCAGAAGACCAUCCUCCCGGCCAUGAAGAACGUACAAGCGGCGCUCGCGGCCGCCGGCCUCGGCGGCAGCGUCAAGGUGUCCACGUCGUUGCGGUUCGACGUGGUCACCGACACCUUCCCGCCCUCCAACGGCGUGUUCGCGGACCUUGACUACAUGGGGCCAAUCCUGGACUUCCUGGCGAGCACCGGCGCGCCGCUUCUGGCCAACGUGUACCCCUACUUCGCCUACAAGGGCGACCCGCAGAACAUCAAGCUCAACUACGCCACCUUCGUGCCUGGCACCACCGUGAACGAUGACGGCAACGGCCUGACCUACACGAACCUCUUCGACGCCAUGGUCGACUCCAUCUAUGCAGCGCUGGAGGACGCCAACAAACCGGGGGUGAAGGUCGUCGUCUCCGAGAGCGGGUGGCCGUCGGCCAGCGGGUUCGGGGCGACGGAGCAGAACGCGCAGGCGUACAACCAGGGGUUGAUCAAACAUGUCGGCAAUGGCACGCCCAAGAGGUCCGGGCCGUUGGAGACGUACGUGUUCGCCAUGUUCAACGAGAACCUGAAGACAGGGGAACCGACAGAGAACCACUUUGGGCUGUUCAAUCCGGACAAGUCGCCGGCCUACUCCAUUAGUUUUUGAGCACACGACAAACCCUGGAUAUUUUGCGUCCGAAUAAGCUGCGUGCUAAUGCAAAAUGCAUGCACUUCAGUCAACCACUCGUGUGUGUGUGUUCAAAAAAUCUCUUAAAUCUCCAUGAAAACUAUAAAAAAGAAAAGAAUAGGAUUGAAUUCCACCUUUUACAUGCCAUAUUUUACUCAA